rnacentral:lncRNA from 1 species
CGCGAGCUAUCCCUACAGUCGACCGAUAGUUUCAAGAUGGAGUCACUGAUCGCCUUCUUCCUCGUUGUAUUCGCAUUGAUAAACCUGGGAAUAAGCCCAGCUAUGGCGGCCUCAGAGCCCGAGAGCUCCGCCGCCACGCAAGGCUUCUCCGUCCUUCUGGGGUCCUUGGCGAUGGUGCUGGGCUAUGUCGUGGCGAAGUAACCAGUGAACACCAUGACGUCAGCUGACCAGGAUCCGCAGACGGACACAAGGCAACAAAACCGGAAAUACCGAUUGUGGACAAACUGUUCGUCAUAACAUGCAAUCUGCUGUUUUAUCACGUGUAUUCUUCGAGUCUAAAAUACUUUUCUGACAGAAUUUAAAAGUUACGUUGUCAACUUGAAUAUCAUAAAUAAAUCUGAUAUCUGAA